AGUUUGAUCCUGGCUCAGAUUGAACAUUGGCGGGAUGCUUUACACAUGCAAGUCGAACGGCAGCACGGACUUCGGUCUGGUGGCGAGUGGCGAACGGGUGAGUAAUGUAUCGGAACGUGCCUAGUAUGGGGAUAACUACGCGAAAGCGUAGCUAAUACCGCAUACUGCCCUUCGGGGGAAAGCGGGGAUCUUCGGGCUCGCACUAUUAGAGCGGCCGAUAUCGGAUUAGCUAGUUGCGGGGUAACGGCUCACCAAGGCGAAUGAUCCGUAGCUGGUUUGAGAGGACGACCAGCCACACUGGGACUGAGACACGGCCUGGUGACUCCUACGGAGGCAGCAGUGGGGAAUUUUGGACAAUGGGGGAAACCCUGAUCCAGCCAUCCGGGCGUGUGCGAUGAAGGCCUUCGGGUUGUGAAGACUUUUUGGCAGGAAAGAAACGGCACGGGAUAAUACCCAGGCAACUGACGGUACCUGCAGAAUAAGCACCGGCUAACUACGCCAGCAGCCGCGGUAAUACGUAGGGUAAGCGUUAAUCGGAAUUACCGGGCGAAGCGUGCAGGCGGUUCGAAAGAAAGAUGUAACCCAGAGCUUAACUUUGAACUGCAUUUUUAACUACCGAGCUAGAGUGUCAGAGGGAGGUGGAAUUCCGCGUGUAGCAGUGAAAUGCGUAGAUAUGCGGAGGAACACCGAUGGCGAAGGCAGCCCCUGGGAUAACACUGACGCUCAUGCACGAAAGUUAUGGGGAUGUUUGAUUAGAUACCCUGGUGGUCCACGCCCUAAACGAUGUCAACUAGCUGUUGGGGCCUUCGCCUUGGUAGCGCAGCUAACGCGUGAAGUUGACCGCCUGGGGAAGGGUCGCAAGGACAAAUCAAAGCGAAUUGACGGGGACUGCAUGCUGGUGGAUGAUGUGGAUUAAUUCGAUGCAACGCGAAAACCUUACCUACCCUUGAUAUGUCUGAAUCCCGGAAGAGAUUUGGGAGUGCUCGCAAGAGAACCGGAACACAGGUGCUGUACGGCUGUCGUCAGCUCGUGUCGUGAGAUGUUGGGUUAAGUCCCGCAACGAGCGGGCAACCCUUGUCAUUAGUUGCUACGAAAGCGGCACUCUAAUGAGACUGCCGGUGACAAACCGAGGAAGGUGAUGACGUCAAGUCCUCAUGGCCCUUAUGGGUAGGGGCUUCACACGCUGGGGCGCACAAUGGUCGGGACAGAGGGCUGCCAACCCAUGAGGGGGAGCCAAUCCCAGAAACCCGAUCGCAACUGGAUCGCAGUCUGCAACUCGGAUCAUGUAGUCGGAAUCGCUAUAAUCGCGGAUCAGCAUGUCGCGGUGAAUACGUUCCCGGGUCUUGUACACACUGCCCGUCACACCAUGGGAGUGGGCUUCCAGAAGUGAAGAACAACCGUAAGGAGGGCGAUUACCACGGUAGAUUCAUGAUCAAAGGUGAAGUCGCAACAAGGU
rnacentral:rRNA from 1 species